rnacentral:rRNA from 1 species
ACUACGGGAGGCAGCAGUGGGGGAUAUUGCACAAUGGGGGAAACCCUGAUGCAGCGACGCCGCGUGGGAGAAGAAGUAUUUCGGGAUGUAAAGCCCUAUCAGCAGGGAAGAAGAAAUGACGGUACCUGAGUAAGAAGCACCGGCGAAAUAAGGGGCAGCAGCCGCGGUAAUACGCAGGGUGAAAGCGUUAUACGGAUUGACUGGGUGUAAAGGGAGCGCAGGCGGCACGGCAAGCCUGAUGUGAAAGCCCGCGGCUCACCCGCGGGACUGCAUUGGGAACUACCGGGCUGGAGUGCCGGAGAGGUAGGCGGCAUUCCUGGUGUAGCGGUGAAAUGCUUAGAUAUUAGGAGGAACACCAGUGGCGCCGGCGGCCUACUGGACUGUCCCUGACGCUGAGGCUCGAACGCGUGGGGAGCAAACAGGAUUAGAUACCCUUGUAGUC